rnacentral:rRNA from 1 species
AGAGUUUGAUCCUGGCUCAGGACGAACGCUGGCGGCGCGCCUAACACAUGCAAGUCGAACGGAGUUGUGUUGAAAGCUUGCUGGAUAUACAACUUAGUGGCGGACGGGUGAGUAACACGUGAGUAACCUGCCUCUCAGAGUGGAAUAACGUUUGGAAACGAACGCUAAUACCGCAUAACGUGAGAAGAGGGCAUCCUCUUUUUACCAAAGAUUUAUCGCUGAGAGAUGGGCUCGCGGCCGAUUAGGUAGUUGGUGAGAUAACAGCCCACCAAGCCGACGAUCGGUAGCCGGACUGAGAGGUUGAUCGGCCACAUUGGGACUGAGACACGGCCCGGACUCCUACGGGAGGCAGCAGUGGGGGAUAUUGCACAAUGGGGGAAACCCUGAUGCAGCGACGCCGCGUGAGGGAAGACGGUUUUCGGAUUGUAAACCUCUGUCUUUAGGGACGAAAAAAUGACGGUACCUAAGGAGGAAGCCACGGCUAACUACGUGCCAGCAGCCGCGGUAAUACGUAGGUGGCAAGCGUUGUCCGGAAUUACUGGGUGUAAAGGGAGCGUAGGCGGGGAGACAAGUUGAAUGUCUAAACUAUCGGCUUAACUGAUAGUCGCGUUCAAAACUAUCACUCUUGAGUGCAGUAGAGGUAGGCGGAAUUCCUAGUGUAGCGGUGAGAUGCGUAGAUAUUAGGAGGAACACCAGUGGCGAAGGCGGCCUACUGGGCUGUAACUGACGCUGAGGCUCGAAAGCGUGGGUAGCAAACAGGAUUAGAUACCCUGGUAGUCCACGCCGUAAACGAUGAUUACUAGGUGUGGGGGGACUGACCCCUUCCGUGCCGGAGUUAACACAAUAAGUAAUCCACCUGGGGAGUA